rnacentral:rRNA from 1 species
AACGCUGACAGAAUGCUUAACACAUGCAAGUCAUUGGCGAAGCUGCGUUUGCGCGGUCUAGCCAAGGCGGACGGGUGAGUAACGCGUAAGGAACUUGCCCUGCAGACAGGGAUAACAGACGGAAACGACUGAUAACACCUGGUAUUGUCAGGCUGGCGCAUGCCGGCCUGAUGAAAGGAGACGCUGCAGGAGAGCCUUGCGUCCUAUUAGCUAGUUGGUGGGGUAACGGCCCACCAGGGCGAUGAUAGGUAGCCGGCCUGAGAGGGUGAACGGCCACAAGGGGACUGAGAUACGGCCCUUACUCCUACGGGAGGCAGCAGUGGGGAAUAUUGGACAAUGGGGGCAACCCUGAUCCAGCAAUUCUGUGUGCACGAAGAAGGUUUUCGGACUGUAAAGUGCUUUCAGCAGGGAAGAAGAAAGUGACGGUACCUGCAGAAGAAGCGACGGCUAAAUACGUGCCAGCAGCCGCGGUAAUACGUAUGUCGCAAGCGUUAUCCGGAAUUAUUGGGCAUAAAGGGCAUCUAGGCGGCCCUGUAAGUCUAGGGUGAAAACCUGCGGCUCAACCGCAGGCCUGCCCCGGAAACUACAGGGCUAGAGUAUCGGAGAGGUGGACGGAACUGCACGAGUAGAGGUGAAAUUCGUAGAUAUGUGCAGGAAUGCCGAUGAUGAAGAUAGUUCACUGGACGGUAACUGACGCUGAAGUGCGAAAGCUAGGGGAGCAAACAGGAUUAGAUACCCUGGUAGUCCUAGCUGUAAACGAUGAUUACUGGGUGUGGGCAUGAAGAGUGUCCGUGCCGAAGCAAAUGCGAUA